rnacentral:rRNA from 1 species
UGCGCAGGUGGGCUUGUAAGUCAGUGGUGAAAUACUGCCGCUUAACGGUAGAACUGCCAUUGAUACUGCAAGUCUUGAGUAUGGUUGAGGUAGGCGGAAUGUGUAAUGUAGCGGUGAAAUGCAUAGAUAUUACACAGAACACCAAUUGCGAAGGCAGCUUACUAAACUGUUACUGACGCUGAGGCACGAAAGCGUGGGGAGCAAACAGGAUUAGAUACCCUGGUAGUCC